rnacentral:piRNA from 1 species
AUCGUGCACGAUGCGAAUCUUGUCCGGC